GUCUAGUGUAUCUGUGUGUAUGCACGUGUGUGGAUGUGUGUGUCUAUGUGUAACCCACAGGGUGUGUGUCUGCAUGUGCACAUGCACAUCUGUUUUUAUGUGUAUGUGCGUGGAUAUGCACACCUGUAAAUUGUGCUUGUGUGCCAUACACGUGUGUGCCUUUGUGCAUGUGCAUGUAUGGGGAAGCCAUAUGACCCCCGCCAUUCCACAGCUGGCCUGCACCUGCCCUCCUCUGGCAGCAAGGGGCCACCCUGUUUGCUGGAGUCUCCUGGCUCCCUUGGCCCCCGGUUCCCUUCUCCAGCUGCUUCCCCUACCCUUGAGCUCAGAGACCACUUGUCCCCAAGACCCUGGAGAAGCCCCAUUCUGCACUGCUGCAGCCACGUACAAGUCCCACCACUGCCCAGCCACUUGAGGAUCUGCAGCAGAGGGUGUGGCUGUCUGUGUUAUUUCAUGUUUUAUUGUGGAAACUUCCAGCGUGCACAGACGCAGAGGCAGGCGGAGUCCACAUGCCUGCCCCCUGUCGUUGGCAAGGAUCAGACCACUCCCUCCCCACUCUCUAUCUGUGGCCCAGAACACUUUGAAACACAUGCCAGACAUCAUAUUGUUCUACCUACAAAAACCCCAGCGUGAAGCCAAGAUAAGGACUUUGACAAAUGCAGGUCCCCGGACGAUUCCCACACCCUCGCCAGAGCCGUCGGCAGGCACGCACUCUUGAGGUCCCCACUGUCUGGCUGGUUUCCUGAAAAGCCACGGGCUGCGGGGUAAGAGAUGGGGCCUAACUCCUGUCUUCAUUUCAAAAAGUAAUUUCCUUGAUUGAACUGGAACCAGAGGAGUCUGACCCGGGUCAGAACCCUACUUGCGAUUUCAGCCCAAGCACUGGGUCUGCCAAGUGCUUGCCAGCCCCCUGGGCAGCUGCCUCCCCACUGCAGGCAGGUGACUGCCCGCCUCCUCAUGGUGAGACCAUCUGCUCUGGCCUGUUGUCAUCUCAAGGAAAACCAGAACACUGCGGUGACGGCACCUCUUUCUUCUCACGUAGGCUGUGCCUGAGGCCUGUCAAUCUCCCUUCACUCUCCUGUCAGAUUCGGGUGUGACUUCGGUUUCUCUCUCCAUUUUUGUUUUUAAACUGGGGAUUGAACCAGAGACACGUAACCACUGAGCCACGUCCCCAAUCCUUUUUAAUAUUUUAUUUAGAGACAGGGUCUCAUUGAGUUGCUGAGGCUGGCUUUGAACUCAUGAUCCUCCUGCCUCAGCCUCCCGAGCCACUGGGAUUACUUGCUUCUUGGCAAGACCAUGGCAUAAGUGGCAUGCCCUUCCACCAGGAGCCACUGGAUGACCAUGACUGACAGCCUCUAAGAGGACCUGCAAUGAUCCCU
rnacentral:lncRNA from 1 species